AAGACUGUAUUUUCAGGGAUCAUUUCUAUGGUUUGUUACUAGAGAAGUUUCUCUGAACACGUAGAGCACCCAAAUGCUUAUGGGAUGAUAUAAAAAAUAUAUUCAUAUUUAUCUGGGAACA
ensembl:snoRNA U3 Small nucleolar RNA U3